AUGAACGCUGGCGGCGUGCCUCAUACAUGCAAGUCGAGCGAACGGACGAGAAGCUUGCUUCUCUGAUGUUAGCGGCGGACGGGUGAGUAACACGUGGAUAACCUACCUAUAAGACUGGGAUAACUUCGGGAAACCGGAGCUAAUACCGGAUAAUAUUUUGAACCGCAUGGUUCAAAAGUGAAAGACGGUCCUGCUGUCACUUAUAGAUGGAUCCGCGCUGCAUUAGCUAGUUGGUAAGGUAACGGCUUACCAAGGCAACGAUGCAUAGCCGACCUGAGAGGGUGAUCGGCCACACUGGAACUGAGACACGGUCCAGACUCCUACGGGAGGCAGCAGUAGGGAAUCUUCCGCAAUGGGCGAAAGCCUGACGGAGCAACGCCGCGUGAGUGAUGAAGGUCUUCGGAUCGUAAAACUCUGUUAUUAGGGAAGAACAUAUGUGUAAGUAACUGUGCACAUCUUGACGGUACCUAAUCAGAAAGCCACGGCUAACUACGUG
rnacentral:rRNA from 1 species